rnacentral:lncRNA from 1 species
CUGAUUGCUGGGACUUUGUUUUGAAAUUGCUGAAGAGCUCUACAGUCAGUGCAAGUCACUACAUGAAAAGCAAUCUGUUUGUUUGGUAAAAAGAUGCAGACAGAAUUCCUGAGUGUCUAACAGUGAGGGGUUCUCUUUUUCUUAAUGCAUGACACUUUCAUGUGACCAAUGUACUUCUGAAUUACUAAAAUGCACCACUAACACCUUAGUAUAAACACAAUGAUUUUUGUUUUUUAAUUAAAUGUCUAGAUUUACUUGUUUCCUUUAAAUUUGGAGUACAAAAGUGGUUUUGAUGUAUUUUCAAAAUAAUACAAGAACAAGCCAAUUAGGAGAUACUUCCGUUAUAAUUAAUUUAUUUACAUUUAUUUUGAUACAGAGGGUGAACUGGAUGACAUAGAGGAGGAAGAGGAAAUGCUAACCGAGUUAGAAGUGGAACAGGCUGCAUCCGUCAUCCCCAUACCUGCUCCUAUAGAGGCCCCAGUCAAGAGGAAACGUGGACGACCUCCAAAGAAUAAGCCUGAAGUGGCUACCAUUAUUCCUGUGGAAGACGAGGUUCAAGAGAUGGACGACAUUGUGAAGACGGAGGUCGGCGCUGAUCAGAGCAACUCUAUCGACGAUACCACAGAGCAAGUGAUCGUCGGCGGAGGGAAAGCAGCCGGCCAGGUCGAGGAGCUGUCCCAGGCGGAUGCAGCUGUGCAGGAGGUACAGCUGUCUGCAGCAUCCGCCAAUGGAGACCUGACCCCUGAAAUGAUCCUCAGUAUGAUGGACCGAUGAUGGGCAUGACACCCAAAUUCUUGAGUAAAUCCUCUAUUGUAAGUCUUUGUAUUUAGGAUAACAAAUACACAGAAGCAAACAUUACUGUUGUAAUUUAAGAUUGACCUUUUGUGUAUUGAUAAAGACCUGGAUAAGUGGGGAACUUUUUUUUUUCUCUAGUAAGAAAAUUAAUUUCAGUACACUUUAGUUUGGAGUGGCUGUGAUUUUUAGUCUGUGUCCUUUUUGCCCUUCCUCUUUGAUGUUUACAAGCUAAGAAAUUCAUUGAAGAAGGCCGUCUUUGUCUACUUGUGUUAAAAUAACUGGCCUUGGUUAUAUUCCUUUUGACUUUUUUUCGGUUUCUAGCCCUUUUUUUAUUUUCUUUUUUUUCUUUUUUAAUUUUUUCUCCUUUCCUUGUAACAUGUUUUGUACCAGAAUCGAUGGGCUAAUCCUACAUGAUUUGUGUGGAAAAAAAUGAGAUGAGCUUUAUGUACUGCUGGGUGGACAGGACAAUGCUUGGGUAUUGUUUUUAAAAAAAAAAAAAACUGGCUUUGAGGGAUACCAAUUAUUAGUUAGCCCGAGGGGAAUCCUGGAGUCACUGGUCACAGUUACUUCAAAAUAUGAAAUGUGAAACAUCAUGAGUUUGCUUUUUUUCCCUUGCGUUAGUAAUUUUCUAUUUUUUAAAAGCAUAUUGUAGUUUUUUAAAGCUUAAUAGAUUGCGUAUCUCAUGCUCCUUUACUUUGUAAAUUCUCUAGAAAACUUGUAUGUACUUCACACUGUCACAGAAGAGUACAAGGAAGAUGGUUCUGUUUUUGCUCUCAAGUGUAGUCAUUCCACUUUGGGUUUUUUGGUAUCUAUCUUGGCAAAGUCAUGUAGCAGCUUGAGUGACAAAUUGUGACAUGAUAACACAAUAAUGACUGUACAAGAAGUUAAAGAGGAAGAGACGAUGGUUUCAGGUGAUUUCUAGAAAAUCAAGAAUUUUUAAAAUGACGCGUCUAACUGGUACAGCAAAACUGUUUGCUUGACUCGUUUUUUUUUUUUGUUUUUUUUUAAUUGGCUGAGAAAAACCUGAAUCUUCAUGUUCUUGUAUUUUGCUUGCAAAUAUAUUUUAUUAAAUGACAACUG